rnacentral:rRNA from 1 species
AUGCAUGUAACCAAAUCAUGUAUUAAUGUGAGGUACUACAUAUAUUUUCCUAUCUCUUUCCAGAAGCACAACCCUCUUGAUCCAACUAGGAACAUCAAAACCAAAUGGGAAAUCAUUGAGUGGACUUCAGAUGGCCAUGCUUAUUUAGCUGGAUGUGCGAUCUCUUCUGCCGCUACAUCUCCGUUCGACUCGCCAAAGUUUGUUGUUCUCCUUUUUACAUGUGUGUGUGUGUUUUACUUUCACUAUCUGCUAUAUCAUGCUAUCUGCCUUCAUGAUCGUUUAAGUAUUAUUAUGGUGUCUGCCAUGCUGAUCGUUUAA